rnacentral:rRNA from 1 species
AUAAUACUCCAUAGAUUAGAGACACUGGAAUGUUCUUUAGUCGAAAGUUCUGGCGCCUUAGGAUGGAUCUGCGGUCGAUUAGGUUGUUGUUGGGGUAACGGCCCAACAAGCCUGUAAUCGAUACGGGUUGUGGGAGCAAGAGCCCGGAGAUGGAAUCUGAGACACGAUUCCAGGCCCUACGGGGCGCAGCAGGCGCGAAAACUUUACAAUGCAGGAAACUGUGAUAAGGGAACUCCGAGUGCCCGUAUACGUGGGCUGUCCAGGUGUUUAAAAAUCAUCUGAAGAAAGGGCCGGGCAAGACCGGUGCCAGCCGCCGCGGUAAUACCGGCGGCUCGAGUGGUGGCCACUAUUAUUGGGCUUAAAGCGUCCGUAGCUGGACCGAUAAGUCUCUUGGGAAAUCCGCCGGCUCAACCGGCGGGCGUCUAAGGGAUACUGUUAGUCUAGGGACCGGGAGAGGUGAGAGGUACUCCGGGGGUAGGAGUGAAAUCCUGUAAUCCCCGGGGGACCACCGAUGGCGAAGGCAUCUCACCAGAACGGCUCCGACAGUGAGGGACGAAAGCUGGGGGAGCGAACCGGAUUAGAUACCCGGGUAGUCCCAGCCGUAAACUAUGCGCGUUAGGUGU